rnacentral:rRNA from 1 species
UACGGGGGGCAAGCGUUGUUCGGAAUUACUGGGCGUAAAGGGCUCGUAGGCGGCCAACUAAGUCAGACGUGAAAUCCCCAGGCUCAACCUGGGAACUGCGUCUGAUACUGGAUGGCUUGAAUCCGGGAGAGGGAUGCGAAUUCCAGGUGUAGCGGUGAAAUGCGUAGAUAUCUGGAGGAAUACCGGUGGCGAAGGCGGCAUCCUGGACCGGCAUUGACGCUGAGGAGCGAAAGCCAGGGGAGCAAAGCGGGG